AUCCCCUGGAGAGCUUGUUAAAAUGCAGAUUCUGAUUCAGCAGGUCGGGGGGUGGCCUGGGACUCUGCAUUUCUGACAAGCUCCCAGUUGAUGCCAA
rnacentral:pre_miRNA from 1 species